CCUACGGGCGGCAGCAGUGGGGAAUAUUGCACAAUGGGGGAAACCCUGAUGCAGCAACGCCGCGUGAGUGAAGAAGUAUUUCGGUAUGUAAAGCUCUAUCAGCAGGGAAGAAGAUGACGGUACCUGAGUAAGAAGCCCCGGCUAACUACGUGCCAGCAGCCGCGGUACUACGUCGGGGGCAAGCGUUAUCCGGAUUUACUGAGUGUAAAGGGAGCGCAGACGGUGAGACAAGUCUGAAGGCAAAGCCCGGGGAUGAACCACGUGAGUGCUUUGGAAACUGCCUGACUGGAGUGCUGGAGAGGCAAGCGGAAUGCCUAGUGUAGCGGUGAAAUGCGUAGAUAUUAGGAAGAACACCAGUGGCGAAGGCGGCUUGCUGGACAGUAACUGACGUUGAGGCUCGAAAGCGUGGGGAGCAAACAGGAUUAGAUACCCCGGUAGUC
rnacentral:rRNA from 1 species